rnacentral:lncRNA from 1 species
GAUUACUCAGUGUUUGGAGCCCUCAUGGAGGUGAUACACGUCUGGAGAGAGAAAUUAAUGAGAAGAGAAAAUAAGGAACCAGUUAGGCAGAUAGUUAGGAGAAGGUUCUUGGUAGAAGCCCUCCCCCAAAAAUAACAGUCUGGAGGAAAUCAAGCUGCAAGCGCAGGUAAGGAAGCAAAGUCCAAAGCCUUUGUCUUCUGUGCAACCAGUGAGCUCUGCCUACACACACACGGUGGUCUUCAGUGAGCACAUUCCUUUUCUUUUCGGACAUAGUCAGAUAAAGGAACUUGCACGGGGUGCUUUCCUAAGACAGACCUGUAGCUGUAUAGAUAAGGAAAGUUACACAGAACCAGACACGUCCGCAGUGACACAGAGUCAAUAAGCAAAAUAAAACAACAUGCAGUAACUCAGGCUAAGGACCUGCAUGCACACUAGAGGGAAGAGGUGGAGCUAACAAGAAUUUGUAUGUAUGCAAAUAAGACAUCCAGUCCUAACCAGUUUUUCAUGCCUUAUGCACACAAAACACUGUGACUCAUUAGCUUUUAUUUUUGUAUAUAAAAGUCUGCAUUCAACUGUGAAAUGACAACCCUCUCAGUCUUCCUCUUCACAGUAGUCAGCUUUUCUCUUUCGCUUAUUAAACUUCUCUUCCAACAUUACCAUUGGUGUCCACAAUCCUUAAAUUUUGGGUCUUGAGACAAAGAACUCCUGGUGAUACUUCAAACAACAAGACUGCUCCAGUGACCCUAGGCUGCUUCACUGUAAAAGCAAACUUCCAGAAACAAAACAGACAAAACUUUGUGACGACAAAUAUCACAGUUGCCACACAGGCCAGCAGAAACCCAAUCACAUCCAAAGAGUGGUACUGGAACCAGGUGAGGUCACGGGCUGCAACUCGAAGGUGUUUGGCUCCUUUGUGGCACAUCACAAAUUCAAUCCAGAAGACUGCUCGAUGCAGGGGCUUUACUGGUUGAUCAUGUUGAAUUAUUGAUAAUUUCAUAACAUUCUCUUUAUAUCUGAAGGAUAAAAAUAAAGAUACCAACACUGAAAGUAAGUUAACUGGCCUGUAUGUAUCAAGUCUAUGAAAGGCUUUUAAAGUGUCAAAUAAUUCAAAGUAAAUUUGAAAGAAUUGACAGAGAAUUUGUGUAUUUUAAUUUGAGUCAUCAUAGAUAGUUGGGCUUUUAAAUUGGACUUUUCUCAUUGACAAACAUUUUUAAAGCAGAAAUGGAAGGUCAGGUGAGAAAAUUAAUUUUUUUCAAGCAGAGAAAAUAUAAGGCAUUUUAAUUGUUUUUAAUUCUUUAAUUUUAAGUUUUUGUGGGUCCAUAUUAAGUGUAUAUAUUUAUGGGGUACAUGAGAUAUUUUGAUACAAUGUGAAAUAAUCACAUCAUGAAAAAUAGGAUAUUCAUCCUUUAAGCAUUUAUCCUUUGUAUUAUGAACAAUCCAAUUACACUCUUAGUUCUCAAACAGGCAUAUGAGUACCUGCUCAACAUCAUGAGCCAUUUUAAGUGCUGUAAGAAAGAUUGUGAAAAUGCGAUGUGAGAAUUAUCAUCUGUAAGUUCCUAAAAAGGAAUUUUAUCAUGGCGAGUGACAUACCUCAUGGCUUGUCACUUUGCUUUUACAUUACUCUUUUGUUUCCUACUGUUUCCCACCCUGUAGCCAGAAUGAUUUUUUGAAAUUAAAGUCAGAUUAUGGCACUCUUCUGAUUAAGAUUUUUGCCUGGCUUCUCAUUCUUUUAAUCAUAAAAUUCAACUCUGUUAUUUGGUCUACAGAACCCUACAUUUUAAGACACUGGCAAGCUCUUUUCUAACACUUUUCCCCUGCACAUUGUCUUCUAGAUUGGCCUUCUAAUUUUCUUUAAGCUUCCAAAGGUGUUCUCAUCUUAGCACUUUACACAUUUUGUUCCUUCUCUCCUGCUCUUGGAGUACUCUUUCUUGCUGCAACCCAAGGCAUGCUUCUCUCCCUUUUUGUGGCUUCCCUCUAAGUGUUACCUCUAAGAGAGGCUUUUAUUGGCCAAACUGUGAUGGAGCCUCUAGAAUUUUCUCUAUUUUCUGUGCUUAUUUUCUAUCUGAUUCCUAGAAUUUUGUAAAUGAUUUAUAUAUCUCAUAAAAUAUACAUUUAAAUAUAAAACACAAAAGAUAAAUAUACAUACACUAAGUGAAUAGUUCAAAAAUGGAAGAUCAUCUUGAACAUUAUCUUGAGGUGAAGAUACCAAUUUACCUACUGUUCAGGUCGUGGUAUAGGCUAUCACAAUCUGCCUAGAAUAACUCCCUUUUUCUGAACCUUUUAGUGACUACUUUUGUCCUCCAACUAAGGAUUAGCCUGACUUCGAAUCACAACAUUAGUUUUGCUUGUUUAUGUAAUUGAAUUAUAUAAUAUGUACUCAAAAGUGUCUUUUUCUUUAAUGUAGCAGUUCUUGGGUAAUUCCAUUGCUAUGUAGUAUUCUGUUGAUUGAUAAACCACAGAUUAUGUCUUCAUUUUACGAUGAAUAGAUAUUUGGGUUGCUAACAAUUUUUGAACACUGUUGAUAAUUCUCUCAUGAACACUCUGCUAUACAGCAUUAGAUUUAUAUAUUUAUGUAUAUCUGUUGUGUAUAUAAUUGAGAGUAGAAUUGCUGAGAUAAAAGUGCAUGCAUAAUUAUGAUUUACUUCUUGACUUUAAAUUUUUUUGAAGUGUAUUUUUUUAAUUUCCAAUAUUAAGGAUAUUUUAGUAAUAGUAUUUUUAACCUCCGUUAUUUCCACUAUGGCUGGAUCAUAUAGUCUUCAUGAUAUUGAAUCUUUUUAUAUUUCCUAAGUCUUGAUUUAUUGCCCACCACAUAUCACUUCAAGUAAAGAUUAACUAUUUGACGUACUCCAGGAAAAUGUGUCUUCAAGUUGAUAUAUACAAUACAUAUAUGUGUAUUGUAUAUGUAUAUAUGUGUUUGUAUAUCAUUUUAGAUUGUAAGAAUCCAUUUGUUAAUUGUAUUCUUCAAGUGUUUUAUGU